ACAGAGGUAGAGUCAGUGUGCUCAGGCAUGAUUUCAGGAGAGCUGCUCCUGUCUACUCCCCCAGCACCCAGACUCACCUUAUAUUCCUGAGUGGACUGAUGUUCAUGAACAUGAGCUUAUAAAUGUGUUGUUUAUCAUGAAGUAUCACGGACUCUCGUUAAGUCUGUUUCCUGUGUCUCUCAAGAGAUGGAGAAAAGGCCCAUCUCUGUGGGUGUUGACCCAUGGGAGCAGAGAGUAUCCUGACAAGGACUGAGAGGUUAAGGAAGGAGCCAGGCUCAAGCUUCAAGGGGACAUAUGCCUGAACAACAAUGCAACUCUGGAUACAAGUGCCUGUGCCCUUCCUCGAGUUGAUGGAAUUUAGCUACUAGAUAUAUGCUCCAUCAGCUUACAGGAGCUCCAACCAUGAUGUCCUGGUCAUGCUGGUCAAGAACGGUUCCCUCAUCCCAAUCCCUGACUUGGGCUUGCAACAUGUCCUAGAACCUGGACCACUAGCACCAGCAGAUGCUGUAACAAAAUUCCUGAACAGGAUGCAAAAGUGUUUCAGCUGAGCCUUGAGAGGUGAACGUACCUUGGCACCUGUCCCCUGGAUGGGACAACUUGAGGAAGGGCCAUCCAUAUUCCUGUUCCCUACCCAGGACACUGC
rnacentral:lncRNA from 1 species